CAUUCCCUGGGAGAGGUGGAGGCUGUUUGGUUGGAGAUGUGGGUCGGAAGUACCGUAGUUUAUGUAUGCUAAUAGGAGAGUUGGGGGUUGUAGCUAGAUAUUUACGUUCAGUGGGAGCCGCCCUUCAUUCACCCACAUGGUUACCAACUGGUCGCCUUCGCGCCACUUUCCUAACCCCGCAAUCAUCUUAAAUCGACAUAUCUGGGCUGUAAAUUGACUCACGAUCAGUCGGGAUUUCUCUCCGCGGUGUGUUUUUGUCCGCUGGUAGAAAAGUUUUCGGAUUAGUUAGGUAUUUAUUUCUCUCUUUUGUCGGUGGCAGCCCAAGCAAGUGAGCGAAGAUGGAGGAUUUCGGCUGAUCCAUGCAGAAGUUGAGGACUUCUCACAUUACACCUUGCAGACCAUCUCUCCCAUGAUGCUGAAGUGAUGCUGUAAACAGUCUGUGUAUUGUCAAAGUGCUUACAGUGCAGGUAGUACUAUGCAAUACCUACUGCAGUGGAGGCACUUACAGCAAUACCCAGACACUGUUGUGCAUGUUCUGUGCUGUUACAUGUCAUGUUGAAGUACUGUCUUUGUGCUAAGGUGCAUCUAGUGCAGAUAGUGAAAUAGACUAGCACCUACUGCCCUAAGUGCUCCUUCUGGCAUAAGGGGCUGUGAUAUGCGCCACCAGACCAUUUUUAAUCACUAAUUGGGCUCAAUUAUCUCGCAGUUCUCUGCUAGUUUUGCAUAGUUGCACUACAAGAAUAGAUGAGUUGUGCAAAUCUAUGCAAAACUGAUGGUGGCCUGCUUGCUCUCCACCUGUGUUUGUUCAGAUUUUUGGUUAUGGGGGUGACACAUCAAACUCAAUCUGCAUGAACUGUUUACAUGUAAUGCUGUUUAACAACGGGAGCAUUCUGUCUUGUCACACAAAGCAACACAGUUUCAGCAGUACUAAAGUGCUUAUAGUGCAGGUAGUGUUUUCUAUCUACUGCAAUGUAAGCACUUGAAGUAUUUCUGACUACGUGCAUCUUGCUGAAGUUCACAUGUUGGAGAUUCUCAAAGGCUCAUCCGAGUUUAAUCGUCACUUGGUCAGUUUUGCUGGUUUGCAUUCCGCUUUAACUCAUGGUUGCUGUGCAAAUCCAUGCAAAACUGACUAGGUUGAUGAACUAUGUUUCACCAAGUGGACCAAGAUUCUGUUUUUUCUCCUCAUACUUGUAAAGUGCAAAUGCUAGACAUGUGCAGAUGUCCCUUCCUGCACAGGUGGGGAUUGGUAGCAAUGCUGUGUACCUGGAGGUAUUGCACUUGUCCCGGCCUGUGUGGGAACAAGGAGAUGGCACUGACCUGGAGUAGGACUGAAUCCUUAAAUGUUUUAACCCUAUUGGUUCUUUGUAUUGAUGUAUUUGACUUAAAGACGGUUGAAUUGAAAUAUUUGAAAUAAAUUAAACAUUUGAAACCUUU